AGACAAGCCUCGCGCUUACUAUUACUGGAAAAUAGUUGGGCCGAAGUGGCCGGGAGGAUCGCGUUGGAAAAUUCGAUCGAGGGAAAUGGAUUUUUCACACGGUGAAAGUGGUGUACCGAGGCCCGAGGUCGGCCGGUUUCGACGGAAGGAAGGACGUUUUCCAAUUCGCCGAUUAUCCCGUGAAACAUGAUAUUUCGCGCGAUAUACUCAACAACCAUUUUUCCAUCGCCGUCGGGAAAACGAGCGACGUAAAAGGCUCUUCGACUUCGUAAAAUCUAAUGAGGGAAAGUCGAGAGAGACGAGAUAGAGAGAAAGGGGGAGGGAGAAAGAGAGAGAGAGAGAGAGAGCGCGUUCGAUCGAAUCGAAUUUGGAAGAAUUCGGUCGAGCUCGAUUCUCAGAAGUGCCACCGGUCGGAAAAUUUUGCAUCCCUCCCCUGGAUGAUCCAACGCCGCUGCAAUUUUCGCGAACAAUCGUCCCGGCGAUCGAACGGCGAUACACGAUCACCGGUUAAACGCGAUGAAAAUUCGGCGAUUGGAAACUCGUCGACGGGGGAUCCACCACCUUGGUGAUCCUCCAUGUGCCGCCACGUACGGAUGGAUCUCGAGAUAGAAAUUCGAUUAUCAUCUCUCUUGGAAUUGGGCACGCACCGUCGCCCACGCCUCUUGGAAACGCCACCAAGGGGGACUCACCAUCCCCUUAUGACCGAAUCAGCAAGGAAAUUGAAUUUUUCCGUAUCUCCGCCAUCGAUCUUUGCCGACUUAUCGUCCCGGAAAAAUGAGUCCCGAGGUAACGAGAGAGAGGAGUAACGAAAGGAAUUGUGUUUUCGAUGAUGAAGUGCGCGAGUCUGGUGGCCAUCCUCGACGAUUUACAGCAACGAUUAAACCGCGAAAAUAUUCCCUCCCCCUCCUUCCCACCUCAGCUCAGUAGCGCGUGAAUUUAUUAGAUUUCCAGCCCAAGUUUGCAAGAUUUACCGGUGGAAAUUCGUGCGCGUGGAAAUCGUUUCUUAACGAAUUCUGUGUGAUUUAUCGCCUUUCGUAUUAUAAUUUUCAAGGGGAGGUUGAAGGGGAAGGGCUCGGUCGAUCGACGGGUAAUUUAUUACGUGAUCCAAUUCCCUGAUCCCAAUGUCCUCGCCCAUCGGGGAGGGAGAGCCCACCGCCAUCCUGAAAUCGGUCCUCCUCGCCCCCUUGAACGAGAAGAAUCUCCUCGCCAAACUUUUCCAUCCCUCCCUCCAUCCCUCCAUUCUCGCAAAUCCCUCUCCCUUUUUUCUCUUCCAAACAAAAAAAAAAAAACCUUUCGUCGCGAAUCAUCGCGCACUCCUCGCUCGAUUCCUUUUCUCCGACGCGCUUCCUCCGAUUUUCCAUUUCCUUCGGCCCGGGCCCGACCGUCCCCCUCCUCCUCCCUUACAAUAAAGCUCGGACAAAGCUUUGUACAAACACGGACGGAUCGUAAAAUUAUCGAAUCGGGGUGUGCCGGUUCACCGCGCGAUCCGCAAUCGCAUUUAGACAGGUGGCCGCGUUAUGACACGGGCCAGGCCCGUUAAACCGCUUAAACCCUCGGCAUGGCGUGCCCCACACGUACAAAGGCACGUGGAAAAUUGGAUCGCGGCCGUAUGCUCGGAUCGUUAACAUAACUCGCACGUAUGCAACUCGCGCGCGUAUCUCGCCUGUUCCAAGGUGCAUCGGCCGUCGGAGGCGGCGAAGUUCGCGCGCGUCUCCACUUCUCCACUUCCCCCUUCUAAACUGGGGAAUAUCCUCUCCGAUUCUCGUUGUCCUCUCCACAAAGCCUUUUUUUCCGUUCGAGUCAUCGUCGCACCGAUCAUCAUCCGCUCCAUCCGAUACAACUUCACGACGUUUCAAAGUUCUCUCUCUUUACAAAGUUUUCUUGGAAAGGUUCCCCUUGCCAACAUCUCUCAAAAUCGAGUUUAUCUCUCCAAUUCUCCUUUUCACCCGCGAGAUUGGCGAAGAAUUGGUGAUCCUCCUAUCGUUCGCGUGAAGAGAUUAAAGUGCAGUUCCGCCUCUGAGUCCGUGCCCUGCACGGUCCCCUGCCGAGAUUUAAUCUUUUAUCGCGUCCCGAAAUCUCGCGCCGACACCUCGCCUUUGGCUGGCUGGGGUUGGGAAACGUCGUCUCACGUCCACGAAGAGAGAUCAUCGCGAGUGCUCGUGCGAGUGAAUUCCGCAUUUCGAUUCGAGUGAUACGAAGAAGAAGGAAAAUUUCUCUCCUUGUUAUUGUUGUGUGUGUGUGUGUGUAUGUGUGUGUGUGAAAGAAUAAAAAAGUUGGCACGAGCAGUGAUCGUGAUCGUAGAUCGAUAUGAGAUGAGUGAGCGAGGAACAAGUGAAGAAGGUGAAGGGAUGAUGCGAGCAGAAGGGUUGUGCGAUAAAAAAGAAAAAGGGAGAAAGAAUCGAGUAUAGACGAAAGAUACUCAGUGUUAGAGCUACUGCCCCACAGAAUCCACUGUAUUAUCCUUUAUCGGCUGAAAUAUGGACAGAGAGAGAGAAAUGUUUCGCGCAAGAGACGAAGACAGGGGAAUGCUUUGUGUCGCACGAAGUUUGGAAAGGUUUGAACACGUUACUGAAGUCCACUGUCUCGCGGGAGACCAGACGGGGAACGAGCAAAGAAUCGAACGUCGUUUAUUUUGUUCGAAAGAACGGCCAUCCCGGAUACCUGGAACGAUGAGAACAUUAAUCGGAAUGGAAGAUCCACGCGAAUCCAAGACAAUUGAGGAAGGAGAGAGACAAAGAGGGAAAGAUUUUCCGUGGCAAAUAUGGUUGGCAGGCAGGAUCGAAGGGUUGGGUGGGCAAGUUAGCUCGGUGUUACUUCAUCCGAGGAAAAGAGGAUCGAAGAAUUUCUCGGUGAACGGCGUUAGUCGAGGAAAAUAGGAUCCCCAGGAUCGUGGCUGACGAAAAAUUUGGUCGUCGCUUUACAGAUAUCGACAAGGGAGGAUUGGCCUAACGUCCAACCCCCGCCCGAACCCUGGCUGACACCUAUUAGGAUUGGUUUAACUGGAUCCUCCCACGAAUGCCGAAACGUUUAAGGCCAUCCAAAGAGUCCGCUAACCUUCGAGAAAAUCCCUUUGAAUCCCGAUGAAAUCUCGUCGGGUGUUCUGUUUCGGGAAGCCAAGGUUGAGCGAUUUUUCUUAAUGGAUGGUCAAAAAAAAAAACAAAUUUUAAUCCACUUUAAAUGUUCGUGUUCUCCAAUUUGCAUUCCUUCUGUUCCUCGAUUUUUAGAAGAGAUAAGCUCUUACUAAUUGACACCUGGAUGAAAGAACGGGAAGAAGAAUCGUCAUUUCGAUGAAUCCAAUGAUUUGAUUUUUACGGUUUUUAUUAUUGUUAUUAAAAUAUAUUCCUCAACGAAAUUCUUCUAUUCUGAUUUUCGCCAUUGAAACAAUUGUAGUAGAAUACCAUUUAUUUUUUAUCGGAUAAUUUUAUUUCCAUUUUUCUGUACGUAAAAAGGAAAUGACGUUUCUGGUAAUAGUAAUAGGAUCGAUUCAAUUAUAAAUAUUUUAAUUCGAUAUAGUUAUUAGACUUGAUUGAAAAUUGUUAACUUGAUUUUUUAUUGCGAAAGACAAUGUA